rnacentral:rRNA from 1 species
UGCCCUAUGGUAACCUAUAUAGGGUAAUUCCUGCCCAGUGAUAUUUCAACGGCCGCAGUACCCUGACUGUGCAAAGGUAGCAUAAUCAUUUGCCUUUUAAUUGAAGGCUAGAAUGAAAGGAUUAACGUAAAUAAAACUGUCUCAGUACUACCAAUAUAAUCUAGACUCUAGGUGAAAAUACCUAGAUAAUAAUAAAGGACAAAAAGACCCUAUAGAGCUGCAUUUUUUAUAAUCUAUAAAAUACAUUAUAUUAUAUUCAUUUCAAAAAAAUUUUGUUGGGGCGACAGAGGAGUAUAAAAAUCCUCCUUUAAUUAUUAGACAUAUAUGUCCACUAAAUGAUCCUAAUAAGAUCAAAAGAAUAAGCUACCUUAGGGAUAACAGGCUAAUCCUUUUAGAGAGUUCACAUUGACAAAAGGGAUUGGCACCUCGAUGUUGGCUUAAGAUAUCCUUUAGGUGCAGAAGCCUAAAUUGGUUGGUUUGUUCAACCAUUAAAAUCUU